UCCAGUUCCCCGUCGGCCGCAUCGGGCGCUACCUCAAGAAGGGCCGCUACGCCCAGCGCGUCGGCUCCGGCGCCCCCGUCUACCUCGCCGCCGUCCUCGAGUACCUCGCAGCAGAGGUAUGCACCACCGUCAUCCUCGUCAUCACCCUCCCCUCCGACCUACCUCUCUCCCCGGACUGAAACGAGCCGCCGAUCUUGUUUUGCAGGUGCUGGAGCUGGCCGGGAACGCCGCCAAGGACAACAAGAAGAGCCGCAUCGUGCCCAGGCACCUGCUGCUGGCCAUCCGCAACGACCAGGAGCUCGGGAGGCUGCUGUCCGGCGUCACCAUCGCCCACGGCGGCGUCAUCCCCAACAUCAACCCGGUGCUGCUCCCCAAGAAGGCCGCCGAGAAGGCUGAGAAGGCCGAGAAGACCGCCACCAAGUCGCCCAAGAAGGCCACCAAGUCCCCCAAGAAGGCCACCAAGGCGUAGAUCUGGCUCCGAGCGCCCGUGCCGGUGAACUGGACUGAUGGUGCUCCGUCAGCCCUCGUGUGCCUAGUGUCUCUGUGUUAAGUUAGCUGUGGUGUGUUCCAGAGUGUGUUGAAGCUUGUUCUUUUGCUUUGCCCCGCCAUGUAACCGUGAACGAAGAGGAAGCGUCUUGCUUCCUCUGUUCUGCUAUAUCAAUCUGGUUUCUAAUGCAGUGUUUGUUAAAACGCCACUGAACUUCCGUCCUGUUUUAACUGUAUUGCAUUUGUUGUACGAGCACGCUGAGCAGUGUUGGGAUAGU
rnacentral:lncRNA from 1 species